rnacentral:rRNA from 1 species
UACGGAGGGUGCAAGCGUUAUCCGGAUUCACUGGGUUUAAAGGGUGCGUAGGCGGGCAGGUAAGUCCGUGGUGAAAUCUCUGAGCUUAACUCAGAAACUGCCAUGGAUACUAUUUGUCUUGAAUAUUGUGGAGGUAAGCGGAAUAUGUCAUGUAGCGGUGAAAUGCUUAGAUAUGACAUAGAACACCAAUUGCGAGGGCAGCUUACUACACAGUUAUUGACGCUGAGGCACGAAAGCGUGGGGAUCAAACAGG